rnacentral:sRNA from 1 species
UAUCCUGCCCACGCGGGAAGGAUGAGAAGCUUCGACAAAGGUUCGAUUCGAGCGUAGCGAGAAAGCGUUGCCGCAGGCAACGACCCGAAGGGCGAAGCGCGCAGCGCUGAGUAAUCCUUCCCCCACCACCA